GAGAAACUAGUUAUUUCACCAAGGCUUUGACUGGAAUGGCUUCUUUAAAGAAUCAAAGUUGACUUGUAGAGCCAAUAAAAGCCCCUUGGGAAAUGUGGCCUCAUACCUUGUCUACGCCAUCUCUGUACAAGAUUCCCGACUUGUGGUUGUAUUGGGUUGGCAGGAGAUUUUGUGUUUAAUUAUUUCCCCAACAAUUUAACAAUGAGGAUAGGAUCUUUCUGGCAAUUUCUGAAUUGGGUAGAUCAUCUGAAAGACUUGUGGUCACACAACAGUCAGAUUUCAUAGUGUUUACUGAUGGACCAUGUACUUGGGAUAAAUUGGCCAACUGAAGGUUUCUUAUGCUGUGGUGUCUGAUCAUGAGCUCUUGGAAGCUUAUGUUUUGUCUGGAAUUAAGUUGGCACAAGUAGACAUCUUGAGACAUAAAGUGAAAAGGACCUAGAAGGAACUACUGGAAGAAAUAUCACCCCUAUUAAGCUGGGCAAUUUUGUUUAAAUACGAGUGUUCUGGAGGAAACAUGCAUUGUCACCAGGCUGGGUGGGACCCUUUCAAGUGCCACGAUCACUCAUAUGGGUAUCAGAGUGAAAGAAAAACCAGAUGGUUUCAUGCUUUCCAUGUGAAGCCAGCUCCUCAGGAGGACUAGACUGCAGUUUCCACAAAAGAUUUGAAGUUUAAUUUCCUAGAGUGACUAAUAUUGGUAAUGAACUCAACUGAAAGGAGGUAUUCUAAGGAAUGUAUUAUUCUGACUACCUUGCUGUCCUAGUUGCAAUAGUGUUUUGUUCAAUUACUAUAAGAAUCACAUUUUAUUAGAAAAUAAACAUGUUAUUUGUUACACCACUUUUUCUUUCUGUACUCCCAAUAAUGGUUCCUACAGUCACAUUUCCUCUCUCCUCUGAAUUGUAUUCCCAGUACAGAAAUGCUGGGCCUGCAUUUAUGAAUCCAACAGUCUGAUUAUUGGCCAAAUAAACACAAGACCAUGUUCAUUACUAUGUUUUAAUAUCAAAGUAAAAGUAACUACUAUGCAUCCAGAAACCAAAGCCCUAAAUUUCACACAAAAAAUUUGUUAACUGGUUUGAUUGGAAGAGUAUAGAAAAGAAAUGCAUCUAAUUAAGUGUCUGGCAUUUAUGGAUAGAGACCUCAGAAGACAGCUCUAAUGUCAAUCGAUUAACUUGAGAAUAGAAGUUUUCUCCAGUCCUACUAUGGAUAGAUAAACAAAGGUGGAUAUGCCUGUUAUCUAUGGAUAUUUAGUUAACUGUUAUAAUAAUAUAACUACUGGUUUGGACCGAGGUAAGAAAUGGCCCAAAAGUUGGCUUUGUCCUCCAGACUUAAAACUAUUAGAGCCAUGUACACUAAACACUGGAAAUUCAAUCUGUGCCCUUCAACGGGUACUUCAUAAUAAGACUUUGAUACUAUAUAAUGGCCACGAGUGUCUUUGCAUUUUGCAUCUGGGAGAAAUUAUUUGGGAAGAUGGGAUAAUUACCAAAGGGCCUAGUUUAUCCUAUAAAUGCAAUAUUACUCCUGUGACUGCUGAGAACUCAGAGGAAAUUCAUUGGGCCUUACAAGAAAAACUCAGUUAAAAAACAUAUAUUAUCAGGCUCCAGAGUUAAGCUAUUAACUCGGCUAGGAUAGGGAUUUCUUUCUUUUUUGUUUGUUUGUUUGUUUUCUGAAGAUGGAGUCUCGCUCAGUAGCCCAGGCUGGAGUGCAGUGGUGCGAUCUCAGCUCACUGCAACCUCCGCCUCCUGGGUUCAAGUGAUUCUCCUGCCUCGGCCUCCUGAGUAGCUGGAAUUAUAGGCGUGUUCCACCACGCCAGGUUAAUUUUUGUAUUUUUAGUAGAGACAGGGUUUCACCAUGUUGGUCAGGCUGGUCUCAAACUCCUGACCUCAUGAUCCGCUGGCCUCAGCCUCCCAAAGUGCUGGGAUUACAGGCGUGAGCCACUGUGCCUGGCCAGAUUUCAUUUUCUAAAACUACAAAAUAAUACUCAAGUAGUUAAUCAUUUGAAAGCAGAAACAAAGACAUGACAACAGUUUAUAAAAUUAAUGUAUCAUGAGGAUAAUUUUUGUGUAUGGCUAAUCAAAUAUCUGCUUUAACCAUUCACAACUGGUAUAUUUAAAGAUUCACCCAAGAAAAAUGUUGUACUAAUUUUUGAUUCAUCCCAUUAUAAUUCUGAUAAUUGCUUUAUUUUGUAUUUUACCAUGGACUUGCUGGAUAUAAAUAUCUAAAGACUGCUGCAAACUGCCCAGAGAAAGGUUAAAAUGUCAGAGUAAACAAUUGGAAAACUGUAGUUUUAGUAGAAAAUAGUAACAAGGAAAAUUGUAAGGGUAAAUACAAAUCUAAAAAUGAAUUUUAAUUUAAAAUUUUCCUCAGUGCAAAAAGGAAAGAACUAUUCCCCCUCCCUUUUCUUUCAGCAUUUCCUUCAGAAAAUGGAAUUAUAAAUAAACUUCUUGCCAGUUUUGCAUCCUAGGAAUGUCAUUCUUUUUUUUUCUUUUAUUAUUAUACUUUAAGUUUUAGGGUACAUGUGCACAUUGUGCAGGUUAGUUACAUAUGUAUACAUGUGCCACGCUGGUGCGCUGCACCCACUAACUCGUCAUCUAGCAUUAGGUAUAUCUCCCAAUGCUAUCCCUCCCCCCUCCCCCCACCCCACAACAGUCCCCAGAGUGUGAUGUUCCCCUUCCUGUGUCCAUGUGAUCUCAUUGUUCAAUUCCCACCUAUGAGUGAGAAUAUGCGGUGUUUGGGUUUUUGUUCUUGCGAUAGUUUACUGAGAAUGAUGAUUUCCAAUUUCAUCCAUGUCCCUACAAAGGACAUGAACUCAUCAUUUUUUAUGGCUGCAUAGUAUUCCAUGGUGUAUAUGUGCCACAUUUUCUUAAUCCAGUCUAUCAUUGUUGGACAUUUGGGUUGGUUCCAAGUCUUUGCUAUUGUGAAUAGUGCCGCAAUAAACAUACGUGUGCAUGUGUCUUUAUAGCAGCAUGAUUUAUAGUCCUUUGGGUAUAUACCCAGUAAUGGGAUGGCUGGGUCAAAUGGUAUUUGUAGUUCUAGAUCCCUGAGGAAUCACCACACUGACUUCCACAAUGGUUGAACUAGUUUACAGUCCCACCAACAGUGUAAAAGUGUUCCUAUUUCUCCACAUCCUCUCCAGCAUCUGCUGUUUCCUGACUUUUUAAUGAUUGCCAUUCUAACUGGUGUGAGAUGGUAUCUCAUUGUGGUUUUGAUUUGCAUUUCUCUGAUGGCCAGUGAUGAUGAGCAUUUUUUCAUGUGUUUUUUGGCUGUAUAAAUGUCUUCUUUUGAGAAGUGUCUGUUCACGUCCUUUGCCCAGUUUUUGAUGGGGUUGUCAUUCUUAAUGGCCAAGGAGCCACUUCUUUUAAAAGUGAACACUAAAACAGGUGGUGCUCUCUUUCCCUGUGGAAAUUUAGCUCCAAGAUAUAACCUCCUGCUUAUCAAAAAUAUAUGAGAGAUUGUAUUUUUCCUUUGGAUAAAUACAAUUAACAUGUAUAUAAUAGAUUAACAUAUACAUAAAACAAAAGGGCAAGAGUUCUUUUUUGUCUUUGUAAUCUCUUUAGGGUAUUGCCUGUGAUGUGCAUCAUGGUCUGGUUUAAUGCUUAUUCAUUAUAUUUCAUUCUGUUCUACAUUCUGUGAAGAUAUUUUACUGGAUUGGCAAGAGAUUUUGUUUAGUCAUUUUCCCCCACCACCAGCCAUGUACCUCAGGACAAAAGUUUUUCCCUAGUCCUCUAGCCCAGUGGCUAAAAUCCUGAAACACAGUGAUCUGCUGAUUUCACUUGUUGCAGGCUGCUCAAUAGCUGCCUAGAUUUUCUAGCUAAUUUAAUCAAACUCUACUUUAGUGACACUAAUGAGGUUAAGUGAAACCCUUAGUUUCAUCUGGAAAACAUACUGAUACCCUCAGCAUGCUAAAAGCACAUCGAUAUGCUCUAGGAUGCAUUCACACUUCAGUUCCCACCAGUUGAACUGUAUGCUUAAGAAGAGAUAAGCCCCAUUUACCCAUAAAUAAUUCAAAUCAGCAUUGCUUUCUUUUUAAAAUUAAUUUUAUUGGAGUAUAAUUCUCAGACUAAAAUGCACCCACUUAAGUGUAAAGUUAAAUAAGUCUUGACAAAUGUGGAUACUAGCGUAUCUACCACAAUCAAGACAUAGAAUAUUUCUAUACAACAAAAAGUUCCCUGUAGCAGCUUUGUAGUCAUUCCCUAACUCAUCACUGGCCUCAGACAACCACUGGUACUAUAGAUCAGUUUUGCUUGUUCCAGUAGUUCAUCUUAAUGGAAUCAUACAAUAUGUAUUGUUUGGCGUCUGGUUUCUUUUGUUCAAUGUGUUUUGAAAUCAACCCAUGUUGUUGCAUGUAGUAGUUUGCUGCAUCAGUAGUUUACUCCUUUUAUUAUGAAGUAAUAUUCCAUUGCAUUAAUGUACUACAUUUUUUGUUCUUUUAAAUGUUGAUAGCUAUUUUUAUUGACUUCCAGUUUGGGACAAUAAUAAAUAAAGCUAUUAAGAGCAUUCAUGUGUAAGUUAUUUUGUGACCAUAUGUUUCCUUUUAUUUGGAAUGUAUAAGGAGAUAGAAGUCCAAAAUUCUGGGUAAUAUAAAAGUAUAUUGACCUUUGUAAAAAACAAAAACUACCAAGAUGGCUGACUGUACCAUGUUACACACUCACCAACAAUAUAUGAGUUCCAGUAGUUCCGCAUCUUCCUCAAAACCUGAGAUUAUCAGUCUUUUUUAGUUUUAGUCAUUCCAGUGGGUAUAGACUGGUAUCUCAUUGUGUUGUUUAUUUGCAUCCUUCUGUUGACUAAUGAUGUUAAGCAUCUUUUAAAGUGCUUAAUGGCUAUUCAUAUCUCCUUUCGUGAGGUGUCUGUUUAAAUCUUUUUCCCAUUAAUAUUGUAUUGCUUGUCUUCUUACUAAGAUAUAAUAGUCAUUUAUAUAUUAUGGAUAAAAGCCCUUUAUCAGAUGUAUGUAUUGCAAAUAUUUUCUCUCUGCCUGUGAACUGCCUUCUAAUUUUCCUUUUGAAGAGCAGAAUUUGUCGUUUUUUAUGUUUAGUGCGAGGCUGUAAAGAUUUUCUCCUGGCCGGGCACGGAGGCUCACUCCUGUAAUCCCAGCACUUUGGGAAGCUGGGACGGGUGGAUCACGACGUCAGGAGACCGAGACCAUCCUGGCUAACACGGUGAAACCCCGUCUCUACUAAAAAAAUACAAAAAAAUUAUCCGGGCAUGGUGGUGGGCUCCUUUAGUCCCAGCUACUCGGGGAGCUGAGGCAGGAGAAUGGCAUGAACCCCGGAGGCAGAGCUUGCAGUGAGCUGAGAUCGCGCCACUGCACUCCAGCCUGGGCGACAGAGUGAGACUCCAUCUCAAAAAAAAAAAAAAAAAUUUAUCCUAUGGAUUAUUUUAGAAAUUUUUAUAAUUUUAGUUGUGUUUAAUUCUACAAUCAAUUUAAAGUAAACAUUGUGUAUGAUGUGAGGUAAUGGUCAGUGUCCAU